rnacentral:tRNA from 1 species
GGGAGUUUGGUCUAGUGGUAUGAUUCUCGCUUCGGGUGAGAGGCCGCGAGUUCGAUCGUAACUCCCC